AUUGAACGCUGGCGGCAUGCCUAACACAUGCAAGUCGAACGGUAACGGACCGCUGGGAUUCCUUCGGGAUGACCUUGGUGCCGACGAGUGGCGGACGGGUGAGUAAUACUUAGGAAUCUGCCCAGUAGUGGGGGACAACAUUCGGAAACGGAUGCUAAUACCGCAUACGCCCUACGGGGGAAAGCGGGGGAUCUUCGGACCUCGCGCUAUUGGAUGAGCCUAAGUCGGAUUAGCUUGUUGGUGAGGUAACGGCUCACCAAGGCGACGAUCCGUAGCUGGUCUGAGAGGACGAUCAGCCACACUGGGACUGAGACACGGCCCAGACUCCUACGGGAGGCAGCAGUGGGGAAUAUUGGACAAUGGGCGCAAGCCUGAUCCAGCAAUGCCGCGUGUGUGAAGAAGGCCUGCGGGUUGUAAAGCACUUUCAGUAGAGAAGAAAAGCCUAGGGUUAAUAACCCUGAGUCUUGACGUAACCUACAGAAGAAGCACCGGCUAACUCCGUG
rnacentral:rRNA from 1 species